AUUACAAACGGUAAAAUAUGCAGCCGAUCUGAUAGGUUACAGGAGCACUGAGCAGCAUAGAGCUCCCUCUCGCGGAUGGUAAUGUUUUCCCUUGGUUCUAAAUAAAUGCGACUUAUAGUCCAGUGCGACUUAUAUAUGAUUUUUUCCUCGUCAUGAUGUAUUUUUGGACUGAUGCAACUUAUACUUAGGUGCGACUUAUAGUCCGAAAAAUUCGGUAAAUUUCCCUACAUGGAUCAGUAAAAGUAAUCCACCAAAUGACGGGUCACUAUGAACAUUCACGUCACUCUAAAAUGACGACACACCCACAGCAGCAAAACUGUACAAAUGCUGGACAUCCACACACCACGCCACAGUAUUAUCAACCAUCACAUACACCUCCAUAACAAUGUGCAUGAAUCAAUACUCGUCAAAUAAUAAAGCACUCACCUGUUACUUGUAAAUAAAGUCUGUGCAUCUGUCACUCCAUGUCCCUUUACUCUUAUUAAAAAAAUAAACAUGGCCAAAUAACUUGUUGUGCUAGGUGCUAGCUGUUAGCCACUCAUAGUUGCAACCUUUGAAAUGGCACACAAAACCGUUGUUAGCGAAUUCAGUUUAAGUAGUUUAUCCUUCAGUUAAUCCUCUUUUGUCUGCAAAAGAGCUCCUUGAAAAGGGAGAUCGGCAACACGAUCUGGUGUAGGUGUCGGCGACAGCGGCAUGGAAAUUCCCAACUAAACGCUGUGCGCAGUGUUGCCAAAUUGGGCUACUUUAACAAUGUUGCCGUGGGUUGUUUUCAUGUCUGCUGGUUGAAGCGACCUCAGUGACAUGAUAUUUAGCCCCUGGAAUGUGAAUUUUACCAGGGGAACCCUGCCAAAAAUAUGUAUUUUACUCCUGGAAUGCGAUUUUAACGGGGGAUACCCCGAAACACGAUUGGGUGGGUUUUGUCGAGAAAACCUGGCAACCCUGGCUGGGGGAAUCACUGGGCACGUAGCUGGUCCCAGAGGGCGUGCUGUUUAUGGAACAUCAAAAUUUGAUUGGCUGAUGAUUCUGUCAUUAAUGCUUGUUACAAAUCAGAUUUGACGUCUUUGACCUAAAGGGAAGCACUAUCUGUAGUGCUGGUGUAUUACAGUCUAUGUGCUGGCCGCAGACUUUUUUUUUUUUUAUGUAGGAUAUUCCAGUUCAACCUCAACAAAACAAAUCAUAGGCCAUUCUGUGGACAUUACACAAAUGAAAAAUGAUACCUAAAUAAUAAUAAAAACCUUUUUUACACAAUUUUAUUUUUAUAGGGCAAGCAGAGAAGGCCCUGCUGGCCCUGACGGCCCACCACUGCUUAAAUUUUAUUUAAUGUCUUCUAGAUUUUCUGGCUGUGAUCUCUCAGAUCAGCAUUGUGAAAUUGUGUCUUCAGCUCUACAAUCCUCAAACUCUGUCCUGAAAGAGCUGGAUCUGAAUAACAAUGAUCUACAGGACUCUGGUGUAAAGAUUAUCUCUGACGGACUGAAGAGUAAAAACUGUCAGCUGGAGAUUCUGAGUCUUGCUGUCUGUAAUCUCAAGUGUUGUGAGAGUUUGUAGUCAGCUCUACAAUCCUCAAACUCUGUCCUGAGAGAGCUGGAUCUGAGUAACAAUGACCUGCAGGACUCUGGUGUAAAGUUAAUUUCUGAUGGACUGAAGAUGCCAAACUGUCAGCUACAGAUACUGAGGUUGUCUGGCUGUAUCAUCACAGAGGAAGGCUGUGGUUAUUUGUCUUCAGCUCUGAGUUCA